rnacentral:rRNA from 1 species
UACGUAGGGGGCAAGCGUUGUCCGGAUUUAUUGGGCGUAAAGAGCGUGUAGGCGGCCAGACAGGUCCGUUGUGAAAACUCGAGGCUCAACCUCGAGACGCCGAUGGAAACCGUCUGGCUAGAGUCCGGAAGAGGCGAGUGGAAUUCCUGGUGUAGCGGUGAAAUGCGCAGAUAUCAGGAGGAACACCAAUUGCGAAGGCAGCUCGCUGGGACGUUACUGACGCUGAGACGCGAAAGCGUGGGGAGCAAACAGG